rnacentral:rRNA from 1 species
CAGUAGCCACGGGAAAACGUAGGGUGCAAGCGUUAAUCGGAAUUACUGGGCGUAAAGCGCACGCAGGCGGUCUGACAAGUCAGAUGUGAAAUCCCCGGGCUUAACCUGGGAACUGCAUUUGAAACUGUCAGGCUGGAGUCUUGUAGAGGGGGGUAGAAUUCCAGGUGUAGCGGUGAAAUGCGUAGAGAUCUGGAGGAAUACCGGUGGCGAAGGCGGCCCCCUGGACAAAGACUGACGCUCAGGUGCGAAAGCGUGGGGAGCAAACAGGAUUAGAUACCCCAGUAGUCCCUGUCUCUUAUAU